rnacentral:sRNA from 1 species
CCGGCCGCUCAUUUCGGGGUCGGAAAGCCGAGCCGAUGCAACAGCGUCCAACGGCAGAACAACUUGUAUCCAUGUUGCUUCACAAGGAGGAUGUGGCUAUGAGAA